rnacentral:rRNA from 1 species
CAGGAUUAGAUACCCUGGUAGUGCGUUCCCCUAAAAGAUGUCAACAUUGUUGUUGGGUCUUCGGAAUUCCAUCCCGAAGCUAACGCGUGAAGUUGACCGCCUGGGGAGGCAGGCCGCAAGGUUGAAACUCAAAGGAAUUGACGGGGACCCGCACAAGCCGGUGGAUGAUGUGGUUUAAUUUAAUUCAACGCGAAAAACCUUACCCACCUUUGACAUGUACGGAAUUCACCAGAGAUGGCUUAGUUUUUUAAAGAGGACCGUUACACAGCCCUCUCAAUUAGAAAAUCAGCUCGUGUCGUGAGAUGUUGGGGUAAGUCCCGCAAAGAGCGCAUCCCUUGUCAUUAGUUGCUACAUUUAGUUGGGCACUCAAAUGAGAAAUUCGGUGACAAACCGGAGGAAGGUGGGGAUGACGUCAAGUCCUCAUGGCCCUUAUAGGGGGGGCUACACACGUCAUACAAUGGCUGGUACAAAGGGUUGCCAACCCUCGAGGGGGAGCUAAUCCCAUAAAACCCGUUGUAGUCCGGAAAGCUGUUUGGAUCUCGACCUUUCAUAGUCGGAAUCGAUAGGAAAUUAGGACCACAAUGGCUCGGUGAUCCCGUUCCCGGGUGCUGGUCACACCGCCCGUCACACCAUGGGAGCACGGUUCCGCC